rnacentral:tRNA from 1 species
GUCCAGGGGCGGGAAUCGAACCCACAACCUUCCGCUUACCGGGCAGAUGCCAUGUCCACUAGGCAUUACUCUGUA